rnacentral:sRNA from 1 species
UUCCCUUGGGAAGUCCACGCCUUGUGGCGGCUUACGGAGCUGCUGCUUUGGCGGGAGUUGGCGGCUGGUGUGAGGUUUCUGUGGGGGAAGGAGAGUGCCAGAGGUGACUGGUUCUUCUAGGCUCUCAUGGCCACCAUGUUGGAAGGCAGAUGCCAAACUCAGCCAAGGAGCAGCCCCAGUGGCCGAGAGACUAGCCUGUGGUCCUCAGGCUUUGGGAUGAAGCUGGAGGCUGUCACUCCAUUCCUGGGGAAGUAUCGCCCCUUUGUGGGUCGCUGUUGCCAGACCUGCACCCCCAAGAGCUGGGAGUCCCUCUUCCACAGAAGCAUAACGGACCUAGGCUUCUGCAAUGUGAUCCUGGUGAAGGAGGAGAACACGAGGUUUCGGGGCUGGCUGGUUCGGAGGCUCUGCUAUUUCCUGUGGUCCCUGGAGCAGCACAUCCCCCCCUGCCAGGAUGCCCCACAGAAGAUCAUGGAAAGUACCAGGGUACAGAACCUCCUCUCAGGGAGGGUCCCAGGAGGCGCUGGGGAAGGCCAGGUGCCCGACCUUGUGAAGAAGGAGGUACAGCGCAUCCUGGGUCACACCCAGGCCCCACCCUGUUCCUUCCUGGUCAGGCUGUUCAGCUGGGCGCUGCUGCGGUUCCUGAACUGCCUCUUCCUGAAUGUGCAGCUCCACAAGGGUCAGAUGAAGAUGGUCCAGAAGGCCGCCCAGGCAGUAAGGCCCGCCCUCCAUUGGGAUGGGGAUGGUGGGAGCAGAAGAGCAGAGGCUGGACCAAGCCCUUAAGUCGGGAGCAGUCCCCAUCUGGUCCUGCUUCCUGGCCUCUCUGCUCCCAGCCAUACAGCAGUCCAGUCCCCAUCAGCUGGUGGGAAAAAUCCCCUGCUCUUUGCCGACCUUCCCUUUAUGUCUCACGGCCCUGCUCCCGCGGGGCUUCCUCUAACGUCUUUCCAUCAUGGUCUCAACAACCAUUACGUCAGUGCGUCAGUGCAAUUACCUUAAAAGUUGUCUAAAGGCUCCUUUGCUUUUGGGAAAUGUGCUCAGAGGAAGAACUCUGCAGCUGAACCGUCCCUCCCUCUGGGGCUGCCCUGGGUCUUUGGCUGCCUGUGUCCUCAGGGUGGGGCAGGUUGGCACUUCCCUCUGGCUCUCCCCGGAGCAGGGCUCGCCGCUUGUCCUCCUCUCUACUCACAAAACCCUCCUGGACGGGAUCCUGCUGCCCUUUUUGCUGCUCUCCCAGGGCCUGGGUGUGCUCCGUGUGGCCUGGGACUCCCGCGCCUGCUCCCCUGCCCUCAGAGCUCUGCUGAGGAAGCUUGGGGGACUUUUCCUGCCCCCAGAGGCCAACUUCUCCCUGGACAACUCUGAGGGGCUCCUUGCAAGGGCUGUGGUCCAGGCGGUCAUAGAGCAGCUGCUGGUUAGUGGGCAGCCCCUGCUCAUCUUCCUGGAGGAACCUCUUGGGGCUCUGGGGCCACGGCUGUCAGCCCUGGGCCAGGCUUGGGUGGGGUUUGUGGUGCAGGCAGUCCAGGUGGGCAUCGUCCCAGAUGCUCUGCUGGUACCAGUGGCCAUCACCUAUGACCUGGUUCCGGAUGCACCGUGUGACACAGACCAUGCCUUGGCCCCCCUGGGGCUGUGGACAGGAGCUCUGGCUGUCCUACGUAGUCUGUGGAGCCACUGGGGCUGCAGCUGCUGGAUCUGCUCCCGGGUGCACCUAGCUCAGCCCUUUUCCCUGCAGGAAUACAUCGUCAGUGCCAGAAGCUGCUGGGGCGGCAGGCAGACCCUGGAGCAGCUACUGCAGCCCAUCGUGCUGGGCCAAUGUACUGCUGUCCCAGACACUGAGAAGGAGCAGGAGUGGACCCCCAUAACUGGGCCUCUCCUGGCCCUCAAGGAAGAGGACCAGCUCCUGGUCAGGAGACUGAGCUGUCAUGUCCUGAGUGGUGAGGGUGAACCAGAUCCUUUGCGGGUGGGUCACUGAACCGUCCCCUCUCUCGGGGUCAGCCAGUCACCAGGGUUCUCCAUUCCAAGUGAGUGUCUGCACCUGAGGCCCUCUGUGGUACCUCGGGGACAUCUGAAGAAGAAUGGAACCCUCCUCCUACAGGAGGAGCAGGCAGCCAGGGCCAUCAUGAGGGAGCAGCUAAGUGCAUGCACAAAGAUGGUGGCCUGAGGCCGGGAGGCUGCAGCUGCUUCCCCAAGGCCACAGCCAGCCCUGCCUUCUGAGCGGAGUCUCCUUAGCUUUGCAGGGGGAUGGUGUUAACUGAAUGGAAUGAUACAUGUAAGGGGCUUAGCACAGCACCUCCGCAGAGGGCCCUUAUAGGGAGAUCCAUGUGUAUCUUCUUCAGUGCCCCUCUCGUAGAGGCUGUGGGUUGAUGUGUGGGCCCUACGAUGAGAUCCAGGGAAAGGUCCCCAGCUCCUGGCCUGGCUCUCAGCCUGUGUGUGAUAAACACCACUGCUCCGGGCGUACGUUCCUCAUCCCUGCGGUGGAGUUGGGAUGUGUGGCUAGGAAGACUUGCCAGAUAAUGGAGGGACCAGGCUGCUGGGCCUCAACCUGACCAGCAUCUCCACCCCCCGCCCCACUCCAGCCAGUGUGGGGAGCUCUGCGGUGAUGAGCACGGCCAUCAUGGCAACGCUGCUGCUAGUCAAGCACCAGAAGGGUGUGUUCCUGUCGCAGCUCCUGGGGGAGUUCUCCUGGCUGACGGAGGAGAUACUGUUGCGUGGCUUUGAUGUAGGCUUCUCUGGGCAGCUGCGGAGCCUGCUGCAGCACUCACUGAGCCUGCUGCGGGCGCACGUGGCCCUGCUGCGCAUCCGCCAGGGCGACUUGCUGGUGGUGCCGCGGCCUGGCCCAGGCCUCAUGCACCUGGCACGGCUGAGUGCUGAGCUGCUGCCCGUCUUCCUGAGCGAGGCUGUGGGCGCCUGUGCGGUGCGGGGGCUGCUGGCAGGCAGAGUGCCGCCCCAGGGGCCCUGGGAGCUGCAGGGCAUGUUGCUGCUGAGCCAGAAUGAGCUGUACUGCCAGAUCCUGCUGCUGAUGCACCUGCUGCCGCAAGACCUGCUGCUGCUAAAGCCCUGCCAGUCUUCCUACUGCUACUGUCAGGAGGUGCUGGACCGGCUCAUCCAGUGCGGGCUCCUGGUUGCUGAGGAGACCCCAGGCUCCCGGCCAGCCUGUGACACAGGGCGACAGCGAUUGAGCAGAAAGCUGCUGUGGAAACCGAGUGGGGACUUUACUGAUAGUGACAGUGAUGACUUCGAAGAGGCUGAGGGCCGGUACUUCAGGCUCAGCCAGCAGUCACACUGCCCAGACUUCUUUCUCUUCCUCUGCCGCCUGCUCAGCCCGUUGCUCAAGGCCUUUGCACAGGCUGCCGCCUUGAUACUGGUGAGACCCUUGUUCCCUUGCAGUCCUCGAGGCAGGCUCUGUCUGUGCUGGGCGCCAGGUCUAGGUCUUCUCUCUUCUGCAGUCGGGCUACACAGAGCAGCUGUUCCAGUUCCUGCAGGCCACCGCCCAGGAAGAAGGGAUCCUCGAGUAUGCGGACCCAAAGCUCGCCAUCAGUGCUAUCUGGACCUUCAGAGACCUAGGGGUUCUGCAGCAGACGCCGAGCCCUGCAGGCCCCAGGCUCCACCUGUCCCCUACUUUUGCCAGGCGGGACAAUCAGGAAAAACUAGAACAGUUCAUCCGGCAGUUCAUUUGUAGCUAGAACUGUGAGGAGGAGCCUGUGCUGAGACUUCUCAGCCCCAGAACACAGCUGUGUCCUAGAGCCAGAAGAUGGAGAGGAGCCUGCAAACCCUUAGCUGGUCUAUAAAUAUAAUCAUUGAGGCUUG